rnacentral:rRNA from 1 species
UACAUGGGGUGCAAACGUUGCUCGGAAUUAUUGGGCGUAAAGCGCACGUAGGCGGUUCGUUAAGUCGGAUGUGAAAGCCCUCGGCUCAACUGAGGAAGUGCACCCGAAACUGGCGAGCUUGAGUACGAAAGAGGAUCGCGGAAUUCCCGGUGUAGAGGUGAAAUUCGUAGAUAUCGGGAGGAACACCGGUGGCGAAGGCGGCGAUCUGGGUCGAUACUGACGCUGAGGUGCGAAAGCGUGGGGAGCGAACAGG